rnacentral:rRNA from 1 species
CAGUCGCCGCGGGAACACGUAGGUGGCAAGCGUUGUCCGGAAUUAUUGGGCGUAAGGGGCUCGCAGGCGGUUUCUUAAGUCUGAUGUGAAAGCCCCCGGCUCAACCGGGGAAGGUCAUUGGAAACUGGGAAACUUGAGUGCAGAAGAGGAGAGUGGAAUUCCACGUGUAGCGGUGAAAUGCGUAGAGAUGUGGAGGAACACCAGUGGCGAAGGCGACUCUCUGGUCUGUAACUGACGCUGAGGAGCGAAAGCGUGGGGAGCGAACAGGAUUAGAUACCCGUGUAGUCCCUGUCCCUUAUAC